AUUACUGCGCAAAAUAUACUUUAACGUGUUUUCUGCCCUUCUCCCCUCUCUCUCACUCUCUCUCUCUCUCUCUCUAUAUAUAUAUAUAUAUGGGUAAGUUUUUGCCAAUAAUGAUAAUAAUAAAAAUAAGUAUAUCACCAAGGACCCAUCUAUUUUUAAUCGAUGGAGAGAGAGGACAAAAAAAAAAAAAAAAAAAUUAUCUGACUCAGAUUCUAACACCCAAUCACUUCUGCUGCGUUUUACUUUAUGCAUAUAAGCUUUCCCUUUUAAAACCCAUUUAUAAAUCAUCCCUACUUCACCCCUUCUCUCCAAGCAUCAACAAACCCCGUAUUCAGAUAUUUGAGGCUGUGUUAUUCUUGCUUGAUCAGUUCAGCAAUGGCAGAUGAAGCUUCACAAAGUCUAAGUCUGAAGGUCCUGGUGGAUGAAGAGACUAAUCGAGUUGUUUUUGCCGAGUCCGAUAAUGAUUUUGUUGAUGUUCUCUUCAGCUUCAUGACUAUUCCUAUUGGAACCAUUAUUAGACGCGCCCAUGAACAAGCAUCAAAAUGGGAGAUUGGCUGCAUGAACAACUUAUAUGAAAGUACUGAGAAUCUUCACAAUACACAUCUGCAAAGUGUGGAGUGCAAGGACAUGCUGCUACGUCCUCGGAGUGCUGCUGAAAUUUAUUGCAGAAACCUAAAAAUAAAUCUUGUUAAUAGUAUUACUAAUGAGUACUAUGGAUGCGGACAUGGGACAACACAAUGCACUUUGUUUCCUUAUCGAGUUGCUCAUUGCCAUUGUGGAUGCCCCCAUAAAUUAUACGGUGACUCUGAAAAAUAGUACCUCUGUUCCUCCAGUUGGAGGGGUUUUUGUGAAACCCACCUCUCGCUUCAUGAUAACUGAUGACUUUCAAGUAUUGCCCUUGUCCACUAUGACUUUCUUAACCUUGCUUAAAGAGCUUGGAGCUGUGGAUGGAAGCACAAUAAAAGAGAGGUGCAUAAACAUAGGCAAGGAUGAGGUUCUGAAGUUGCUCAAGGCUUCCCUGACAUCUAUGGCACCUUUUUCUGAGACUGUCUUGGAAACAGAAGUCAAUAAAACCAGUGUUGCAAUUCGUCGUGAAGAAUUUAGUGCAAGAACCACAAAUGAAUCUCAAAGGGCUAUGGACACAUCAAGCAACGAGGCAAAGAUAGCUUUGAAGCUUAUCAUCAACAAAUGUAACAACAGGGCAUUGUAUGUUGAGCCAGGGAAGAUUUUGUUAAUCUCAUCAGCAGUUUUCUCACCUUUCCACUUGGUUAUGUAUUUAAAGAAUUUCCAAGUUUGUCAUUGAGGGGAUGCUUGGCUAACUUAUACAAUAGCAUCCAGGCACUUGAUGUUGACGAAUUCCUGAAAUCUGAGGAAAUGAAGGAACUUUAAUCAAUCCAAAGCUGGCUCCUGGAAUAGCUUGCAAUAAGCAGCUCGUCCCCAUUGAGGAAGCUUUAUAUCCGUCGUGGUCAACCAUUGAUUCUCUUUUUGAAAGAAAUUAUUCUAAUUUAGAAGUAGCUUCAACUGGCGAGAGAUUCAUGAAAGGACCGUCAAAGUACAUGGUGACGGACAAUUUGACCAUAACACCUUUAUCUCUAGCCUCUGGCUUAUCUCUUAUUAACAAAUUUAAUAUUCCCAUAAGUGACAUUGUAGAACGAGAAUUAACCAUUGGUGAGGAGGAGGCUUUGCGUCUACUAGAGGCUGCUUUGGUAUCGAGAUCUGCUCUGACUGAUACUUUCAUACUGAAGGAGCCAAAACAAGAACCAAAAGGCAGAGUCCAGCAGUUUCCAAAGAAAGAUUGAAGGUCCGUGGCAAGUGAAAUUUGAGCUUGAAAUCCAAUGUCUCUUGGUGGUGGUAGUUUUUGGUUAAUUAUGAGCCAGCUUUCUUGAACUUGGUAUAUGAUACAUGUAUGUGGUAUUAGCUAGCUCUUGUAGGACUUUUGUUCGAGCUUGGCUAAUGGCUACAUGUUGAUGGUAGUUGAUGACGUAUUUUGAACUGCUAAUUAAUUAUAUAUUUGGAUAGUGUUUGGUUGUUUUGGUGAAUUGAUUAUGUUUGAAGAAUAUUGGGAUCAUGUUGAAUUUUGCUGCCAAAUAUUUUAAACUUGAAUAAUGUUUGAAGAAAAUAAUGUUUUGAGAAGUGAGUGGAUGUUGUGGUGCCAGGAUGGAAGAAUAACAAAGAAAGGCCAGUAAUAUAUAUAUCU